rnacentral:lncRNA from 1 species
GAUAUCAAAAUCAAAAUGUCUAGUGAUGCAGAACCAGGAAUGCCAGUAGGCUGGCAUUUAAGUUGUGAAGGAACUGGAAAAAGUAGAUGGUUUCUUCUUGCCCUACAUCCUAAAGGUUUGCACUCCAAGAGGAAAACAUGGCUGCUUAUAGCACAAGCUUUAGAAUCCCACUCACCUGUGUUUGAAUUACUAUUCUGACACUUCCUACAUCUAUGAACCUAAGUAAAUUAAUUAAUUUCUCAAUCAGUUUCCAAAGCUUUAAAGUGGAAAUAAUAGUGGUAUCCACUUGCAGCAUUAUUGAGCUAAAUGAAAUAUGCUUGAAGAGUUAUAAAAAUAGUCAGCUAUUAUCACAAAUACAAUGGCAAACAAAAUAACAAUUGAAUCGAGUGUUUGUGGGUCUAUGGGUGUCUAUGGAUCAGCUGAACUCAGCUCAUCUUCAAGGUGCAUGUCUGGCAGGGCAUGGCCCCAAGCUAUAAGGGGACAUUUAGAUCUCUGCACAUGAUUUCAUUAUGGGGUCAGGAUAAAUGGGCAGCAGUUACCACGUGUUUGGUGUGGGGAGUGGGAACUUUUCCCAUGGCAAUGGGACAAUAUGAGAGGGAAAGUCCAAUAGCAUAAGCCCACUUCAUGCCUUUGUUUGCAUCACCUCCAUAAAUAUCCUAUUGGCUAUAGCAAGUUACCUGGACAAACUGAAUGUCAAUAGAGAGAGGAGACAGUGCAAGGUCAUAUGGAAAAGAUGUAGAUACAAGGAGAAGGUGAAUAAUUGGGAACAAUGUCAUCCUCCAAAAGUUCUUAGAACAAUGGAAAGCUCAGAAAAUGGAGGGAUUGUUCUGGAUUGCUAUGGAAUCCUAUUGGAGUCCCAAAGAGGCUGGUAGUUGUGUAGAAGAGUAAUGACCAAACUCUUGUCACUUGAGGUUUUAAGAAAGAAGAAAUACCUUUUUUUGUGGUUCUGGGGAUGGAACCAAGGGCUUCAUAUAUGCUAGGCAAACACUCUACAGCUGAGCUACAUCCUCAGCCCAGUAAUGCUUCUUGAUAGCAUUUAUUCAAAUGAAAAUAGCUCUAGUUAUUCCCAUGGGGGAAAACGUAUAUUCUUACAACUUAGUUUAUGUCCUAAUCAUUGAGCAAAUUACAGAAAAAUUUCAAUAAGAAAAGUGGCACCGAUUUCUAGCAACUAGAAUGUUGAGAUCUUGACAAUUUGAGAAGUACCACCUGUGCAGUAGCUGGCUCUUUUUCUGCUGAUAUCAGGUGGUAAGCUUGUCUUGAAUCUUAGGUGGGCUGUGCUCAGUCUGUAGGCUGAAACAUCGUCCAUUUGUUGAUCUUUCACCUUAUCGUAUUGACCACAAUAUAACAACAGUCCUCAAUAAUUCCCUUCCUUUGAGGAAGGCCCCUAGGUGACUACCAAAUGUGUAUAGAUUUGAAAGUAACCACAGGUAAGCCUAAGUGUCCUCUAAUGCUGUAUGAAAUUUGUUCUAGUAGUUUCUUCUUUCCUUAGUCUACCCCUUCACUAACCCAUCUGGGCUUCACAUCUCAGACAAAAACCAUGAACUGUGCUUAUGCUCUCCUCCCUGAAGAAGCCAUGACUACCCAGAUUCACAAGAAACUUUUCUGCUGGAUGAAGUUAUUCUGCCCUUUGGAAGGUAAAUAUAAGAACACAAUUCUUGGUGGAAAUUCUGCCAACAUAAGUCACAGAAACCCCCCUGUUUCCAGACAACAAAGCCAUACAAAAAGAAAAUGGCUUGAAUAUUGUAACUAUAUGUUACAGUCAUGGUCCAACAUUGAUAUCUUGGGACUGUUGAAUAAAGUCUCUAUUCCACUUACUUAAAGCUUGGAAGUCCUCAUUUGUCAAUCCUGUGAUGAUGAUGAGUGUGGAUGGCUUCUGAAUUCCCUUUAUGGUUCUUGAUAAAUGUUCAAUAAAAGGUCAUUAUAUGGCCAGGUUAUGAUAUAUUUAUAAUCUGUAUCAUACCAAUGCACUAGGACUUUUAAUAAAUGCUGAAUAUUAAGAGUCUAAUUCUUUCAAAGCCAGUUUGGAACCAUUACAGAUUUCAAUCUGGGGGUUGGAAGGCAAUUGCCCUUUCUUCUCUAUCAGUUCUGAGAGUGGACACUUGAAGAUGGGGGAAGAACUGGGCUGAGAUGUAGCAUCUUGAUGGCAACAAAGGGGUGGCACCCCUUGAAAUCUCCAACCCAGUACACAGUAUAACAGACAGACUGGUUUCUUCAAAGAGUCUUUACAAAACAUUUGAGGAGGCAAAAAGACCAAGUCCAGAGUGUAUCAGGAGACAACCUGCCAUGACCCACAUAGGACAAGCUUCUGGUCUCUCACUGAGACACCUGCUUCCUCCAGAAUGCCAUCUGCCCAGUUCCCUGCCCCAAUCUCACAGAGCCAAUGAGUGGCAGCAUAGGGGUUGAACUGAGUCCUCCUUUCCCCACAAUCUCAUGUCUUUCCAGGAUACCAUCUUGCCUCCUUGUAAAAUCAGAAUGGACUGAAGCUUGCUACCUCCUGAACAGAGAAUGCAGGUGGGAGGAAGACUAGGGGCUGGUCCUAGCUUCCAGCAUGUAAGACCUAAUUCUUCCCUUAAGUGACUUUUGGCAAGGAAUGACUGCCUCCUCAGUUGCAUCCACUAUGUUCAAGAGUUGCUUUAUCUCUAUUUGAACUGACUCUCCAACAUAACUUCACUGUGAAAUGCAUUUUACCAAUCAUACAGUAAAUAAAACACCCAUUGAGCAAGUGGGAGUGUUUGUUAUAGUAGAUUUGCAUGCACUACAGACCCUAUAGAUUUGUUAUGGCAAGCAUCUUACUCUCCAACUUCAUAUUUGUUCCAGUCUUGCUCUUAAGGCAUGAAAAACAAAAUAAUCAACAAACAAGCAUGGAUCCUUCUGCAGCAUGAGUGAGUUUAGAGGCAGUUCAAAGUUGCUGCAAGAGAAAUUUUUCUGUAAGAGGAUGAUAAAUGGAGAAAGACAUUGGUUUCCUUAUAGAUCAGAGCAUCCAAGUGUAAGAAAUGGAUUUAGAGAUGCUAAUUGUGGUAAUGAAUGAUGAAGAGACCAGGAAGUGUCUAAGAUCAGCAGAGAGAGAUGGGAAGCUUCAAUGUAAAACAAAAAGAAGCACAUUUAAACACAGCAUGAUGUGAUGUCAACACAUUCACACCAGGAUAGCUAAAGUAG